rnacentral:rRNA from 1 species
CCUACGGGUGGCAGCAGUGAGGAAUAUUGGUCAAUGGCCGCUAGCCUGAACCAGCCAAGCCGCGUGAAGGACGACUGCCCUAUGGGUUGUAAACUUCUUUUAUAUGGGAAUAAAGUGCAGUACGUAUACUGCUCUGCAUGUACUUUAUGAAUAAGCAUCGGCUAACUCCGUGCCAGCAGCCGCGGUAAUACGGAGGAUCCGAGCGUUAUCCGGAUUUAUUGGGUUUAAAGGGAGCGUAGGCGGGUUGUUAAGUCAGUUGUGAAAGUUUGGGGCUCAACCGUAAGAUUGCAGUUGAUACUGGCAUCCUUGAGUGCAGUAGAGGUAGGCGGAAUUCGUGGUGUAGCGGUGAAAUGCUUAGAUAUCGCGAAGAACUCCGAUUGCGAAGGCAGCCUGCUGGACUGUAACUGACGCUGAUGCUCGAAAGUGUGGGUAUCAAACAGGAUUAGAUACCCGAGUAGUC